UCCCACUGAGACCCCCCUAGCUGCUUUGAUUGCAAAAAGCCAAAUGUUCCUAUCUACAGCAAGAAAAGGAGCAAAGGGCUCUGCAAACUGGAAGAAAGGACAAGACAAAAAACACAGAUGAGAUGGGAAAGAGCUUUGCCCCAUAUUCCUGCAGCCAACCCACUUGCAAAGAGUAUUUCCAAGGCUUGUUAUGCACAUGCAAGAUCCCGGCAACACUACAGAACUCACUGAAGAUGUGAAUGGUAUGGAAUCACUUCCCCAGCAGACUGAUCCUGCCUCCAUAAACUUGCCAUUAAAGAAAGGUGGAAAAGAACAGGACUGCCCAUAGAGAUAAUAGAAGCAAACUCAAGACUUCCAAUGAGUCCUGAAAAGAAAGAAGAAGAAAAAAAAAA